rnacentral:rRNA from 1 species
UACGGGGGGGGGCAAGCGUUGUUCGGAAUUACUGGGCGUAAAGGGCUCGUAGGCGGCCAACUAAGUCAUACGUGAAAUCCCUCGGCUUAACCGGGGAACUGCGUCUGAUACUGGAUGGCUUGAGUUCGGGAGAGGGAUGCGGAAUUCCAGGUGUAGCGGUGAAAUGCGUAGAUAUCUGGAGGAACACCGGUGGCGAAGGCGGCAUCCUGGACCGAUACUGACGCUGAGGAGCGAAAGCCAGGGGAACAAACGGG